rnacentral:snoRNA from 2 species
GGGUCAAGUGAUGAGUAACAUAACUGCAACAAUAUGAUGGGAGUAAUAAUACUCCUAUGAUUCUUAAGUAUUUAAGUCUCUGAUGAUC